UGAUGAUGUGAGAAAUACCAAAGUGGUAAAAUAGAGAAUAGUGAACUUAAGUAAGCGACGUUUUUGUCACACCCGACAUUUGGCGGCAUUUUGCAUCAUAGCGCUCGUGUAAGGAAGCAAGAAACUUUAAAAAUCUUAUGUUUUGUCAUAUGUGUUGAAGAUUACCACAAACUGACAUAAACACAGUUUUUAAUCCAGUCCCCCCUCGACAAUCUGACGUCCGUGUUGACAAAAACGUCGCGCUUGCUAUUUGAUAAUUGAUAUCACGUCUAUAUAUGUGCAUAUAAUUUAGUCGUGUGAGUAGCCAUACACUCCUGUAAAUAUGACUAAAUAAAAAUUGUAAAAAUAUAAAC